rnacentral:rRNA from 1 species
AUUGCAAUGAGUACAAUCCAAACCCCUUAACGAGGAUCCUUUGUAGGGCAAGUCUGGUGCCAGCAGCCGCGGUAAUUCCAGCUCCAAUAGCGUAUAUUAAAGUUGUUGCAGUUAAAAAGCUCGUAGUUGGAUUUCUGGGAGGGUGCCAAAGUCGGCGCCUGCGAGUGCUGUGCUGCGGCCGCCCUUCCAUCCUUCUGUUAACGAUCCUUGGUAUUCGGUUACCGGGUUUCGGGCUCAGAUAUUUUACCUUGAGAAAAUUAGAGUGUUUCCUGCAUGCUUGCGCCGGAAUACAUUAUCAUGGAAUAAUAUAAUAGGACUUGAGUCUCUUUUGUUGGUUUGAGGGACUGAAGUAAUGAUUAAUAGGGA